AAAGCAUCUAAGCGGGAAACUUGCCUCAAGAUGAGAUCUCACUGGAACCUAGAGUUCCCUGAAGGGCCGUCGAAGACUACGACGUUGAUAGGUUGGGUGUGUAAGCGCUGUGAGGCGUUGAGCUAACCAAUACUAAUUGCCCGUGAGGCUUGACCAUAUAACACCCAAGCAAUU
rnacentral:rRNA from 1 species